rnacentral:rRNA from 1 species
GAUGAACGCUGGCGGCGUGCCUAAUACAUGCAAGUCGAGCGAACAGACGAGGAGCUUGCUCCUCUGACGUUAGCGGCGGACGGGUGAGUAACACGUGGAUAACCUACCUAUAAGACUGGGAUAACUUCGGGAAACCGGAGCUAAUACCGGAUAAUAUAUUGAACCGCAUGGUUCAAUAGUGAAAGACGGUUUUGCUGUCACUUAUAGAUGGAUCCGCGCCGCAUUAGCUAGUUGGUAAGGUAAGGCUUACCAAGGCAACGAUGCGUAGCCGACCUGAGAGGGUGAUCGGCCACACUGGAACUGAGACACGGUCCAGACUCCUACGGGAGGCAGCAGUAGGGAAUCUUCCGCAAAGGGCGAAAGCCUGACGGAGCAACGCCGCGUGAGUGAUGAAGGUCUUCGGAUCGUAAAACUCUGUUAUUAGGGAAGAACAAAUGUGUAAGUAACUAUGCACGUCUUGACGGUACCUAAUCAGAAAGCCACGGCUAACUACGUG